rnacentral:lncRNA from 1 species
GUAAACUCUUUCUCCCGUGUUUCUGCCAUCUUAAUGGUAUUUUAUGAGGAAAAAUGGCACAAUAUUUGCAAAUUUGUAAGAUGACUAGCUGGAAUUAAGAGUAUAUUCUGUGACCAUUCACUAAAGGUUUUGUGGUGGCAUUUAUCAUAUGGGUCAUGGAUACAAAAGUAAAAGUCAAGGCUGUCCCAAUGACUAAGAGACACCAUAGGAACAUGUAGAGAUGGAUCUUGCAGAGACAGCCGCUUCCUUCUUGUUUGAUUAACACCUGGAAGAAUCUCAAAAUAGUUGAAAAGUCUGUUCCCAGAAUCCUGCACCAUUGGCAGCUCGCCCACGGUGAAUCCUCACACCAUAUGGACUCUGUUGGGAUGCUUUUCUGACACUGGCUGAUUCUCAGCUGCCUCCCUUCUUUUAACUGCACUCUGUCUCUUCCUGAGGGUCCAGCAGACACCUUGAUCUGCGGGCAAAGGCGGUCCUGCAUCUGAGUGGUGAGUCCUCCUCC